rnacentral:tRNA from 1 species
GUUUUAAUAAUUUAACCAAAAUACUGGUCUUGUAAACCAGAAAUAAGAAUCUUCUUUUAAAACA